AUCCGCCGGUUGCUGACGAAUCAUUGUAGAUUAUACGUGUCUUUUUCACUGUCCUUCACUUUCCACGUGGUACUCUCUUGUACUCUCUUCUUUCUUCCGCAUUCUUCUUCGCUGAAACUCCGCCGCUUUUGCUUUUCGUUGUACGUUCUUUUCUUCCCCAGGUAAUUUCUCUCCGUUAGGCUUCUAUAUUUUCUUUAUGCUACUCUGUUUUUUUUACAUUAUCGUUUCUGUUUGAUGCACCUGUUUUUUAUGGCUGUUCCGGCCAAGCUGGCAUCUGCAGCUGCAUUCCCCAUCCCGUUGUUCAUUCCGAUCGCAACAAUGUCUCACAAACCCUGAUUUCUUUCAAUCACCAUCUAUUUGAACAUUCAAUCGUUUACAAGAUGGAACAAUUCCUACAGACCAUCUCUCACCCGAUCACAAAGUCUCCAAUACUACUUCUCGCGGUCCAACAACACUUACAAUCGACUGAUUGAGGGGCGAAAAGCAUAGCAGAUUGAAAAGAGGCAGAUCGUCCCUAAUCGCUCAAAGCUGUGCCGGUACAGGUUGAGAAGAAGACCUCAAAAUUCCCAACUAAUGAACCCACAAAAUCAUCUAUUGCUACCACCAGACGAACUUUUCCUGCUUCAAGCUAAUCGUUCAUUUUUCUGGAAACGAGAUGAAGCCUAUUAAUUCCUACUUCUGGAAUUUGUGAAGCUCACUUCUUUUUUCGAUCGACUUCCCUGUCUCACUUCCAAACCCUAGGUGGGUUAUCUUUUUCUGUUAUCCAUAUCAGCCACCGAUCUUUCUGCUUCUUCUUUGACUAAGAAUUUAGAUACCCUCAAACAUUUGUUGCCGCCGUUACCGUCCUUCAUGUUCCAGGUUGUCAGAUUUAAUUUGAAGUCGGGGUUCCAAUUUGUUCUGAUCAAAUUCAUCGAUCAUAAUUCAACCGCACUCUUCAGACUUACGCUAUUGACAUCGUCGGUACUUAUUUUGGACUCGCAGAGCUAUUCCCUAUGAAAAAUUGACCCCCCAUCUCCCUCAAACAGUCUUUUGAAAGCAAGAAGCAAGAAAUUUUUUAUAGAUGUAUGCUUUUUUUUUUCUCCAGCCAAUUUGUUCUCUGGCGUGUUGGAUGAGAAAACUAUUGUCUAAUAUUUGGGUGUCAAGAUUGCUCCUGUGCUAAUUUUCUUAGAUUUAGAAGCCGUUUCAACGGAAGGGAGGGUUUGCUAUAAUGAUUUAGGUGGUUGUCUGAGUAACUAUGAAGUAGCAAAGAAUUAUAAGUCCGAUGUAUUGGCACUUGCAGGAAUGCGAAGGUAUGUAAAAGGACCGGUGACCCAAACAAGCUUAUGUUUUGCAUAAGGUGUAAUGGUGUGUAUCAAUGUUACUGUUAGCAACUUCCCCAUAAAGUAUGCUUGCAGGAAGGCUUUGGCCGACAGUCAGCGUAUUAGGAUUUUGAUUAGGGUGUUUCAAAACGAUGGACACCAUGCAAGAUACAAAGAAAGGGGCUCUUAAAACCGGCGAGUUUUGCAAUUUUAACUGUAGUAUAGCCAUAGGUGAAAAUAGUAAAAAGCUUGCAGGGAAUUAGUACCGAUUGAUGAAGUUUUUACAGCCUUCACUUCGUCUUCUCUUCUCCAUCUUCCAUCACUGUUCCAAGAUGUCUUCGUCGUUCCUCCCUCGGUCUUCCAUCAGGAGAUUAAAUCUGCAUAGGAUUGGAAGAAUUGUCUCAAUUAGACAUAAAUAGAAGUUGUUUAAUAACCCAAGGGGAGUAUGAGAGGCAUGAAUCCUUGUUAAAUUGGGGUUUAAUUCAAUGUUUCUGAAUAUAACAAGUCGUUUGCAUUCUGAUUUGUUGUCUGGGGAAACAAUGCAUUGCAAAAGCCAAAAGGAUUUUGCUCUAUCUGUAGAAAAUAAUGGUCCAAGUUAGACAGGUACCCGGCGAUAUCUUUUGGUGAAGACAGAGUGCUCAGAAGACUCGUCUCAACUUUUGUUCAUAUGAUAUAUGUAUAAAACUUGUACAAUUUACUUUUGAAACAAAUGUAAACUUUCAAAUAUAUGUAAUGUAAUGGUUGUUUACUGUGA